CCAGUUCGUGGUCGACCUCGGUACCGGCCCGGACGCCGACGCCGUCCGGGAGGGCGCGCCCGCCGUCCUGUUCGGGCCCGGUGACCGGGG
rnacentral:tRNA from 1 species